rnacentral:rRNA from 1 species
CGUAGGUGGCAAGCGUUGUCCGGAUUUAUUGGGUUUAAAGGGUGCGUAGGCGGCUUUGUAAGUCAGUGGUGAAAUAUGGCAGCUCAACUGUCAAGGUGCCAUUGAUACUGCGGAGCUUGAGUACAGAUGAGGUAGGCGGAAUUGACGGUGUAGCGGUGAAAUGCUUAGAUAUCGUCAAGAACACCUAUAGCGAAGGCAGCUUACUAGGCUGUAACUGACGCUGAGGCACGAAAGUGUGGGGAUCAAACAGGAUUAGAUACCCUGGUAGUCCACACUGUAAACGUUGAUUACUCGCUGUGUGCGAUAUACAGUACGCGGCCAAGCGAAAGCGCUAAGUAAUCCACCUGGGGAGUACGCCGGCAACGGUG